rnacentral:rRNA from 1 species
GAUGAACGCUGGCGGCGUGCCUAAUACAUGCAAGUCGAGCGAACGGACGAGAAGCUUGCUUUUCUGAUGUUAGCGGCGGACGGGUGAGUAACACGUGGAUAACCUACCUAUAAGACUGGGAUAACUUCGGGAACCCGGAGCUAAUACCGGAUAAUAUUUUGAACCGCAUGGUUCAAAAGUGAAAGACGGUCUUGCUGUCACUUAUAGAUGGAUCCGCGCUGCAUUAGCUAGUUGGUAAGGUAACGGCUUACCAAGGCAACGAUGCAUAGCCGACCUGAGAGGGUGAUAGGCCACACUGGAACUGAGACACGGUCCAGACUACUAAGGGAGGCAGCAGUAGGGAAUCUUCCGCAAUGGGCGAAAGCCUGACGGAGCAACGCCGCGUGAGUGAUGAAGGUCUUCGGAUCGUAAAACUCUGUUAUUAGGGAAGAACAUAUGUGUAAGUAACUGUGCACAUCUUGACGGUACCUAAACAGAAAGCCACGGCUAACUACGUG